UAAACUACGAUUAGAUACCCUAUUAUUUUAAAUGUGAAGAAUCUAUACUUGAGUAGUAAGAGUUAUGGUCUUGAAACUCAAAGAAUUUGGCGGUGUUUUAGUCCUUUCAGAGGAACCUGUCCCGUAAUCGAUAUCCCACGAUAUACCUUACUUAAUCUGGUAACCAGCUUAUAUAUCGCCGUCGACAGAGUGUCCUAUAAGGGUUAAUAACAUUCUUUAAUUUAUAUUAUUAUAAAAAGAUGUCAGGUCAAGGUGUAGUUUAUGAUUAAGUGGAGAUGGGUUACAAUAAAUUUAUUUAUUACGAAUAUUUUAUUGAAAUAUGAUUUUGAAGGAGGAUUUGAAAGUAAUUUUAUAUAGUAUAUUAGAUUGAUUUAGGCUCUAAAACAUGCACACAUCGCCCGUCGCUCUUA
rnacentral:rRNA from 1 species